rnacentral:rRNA from 1 species
GAUGAACGCUGGCGGCGUGCCUAAUACAUGCAAGUCGAGCGAAAAGACGAGGAGCUUGCUCCUCUGACGUUAGCGGCGGACGGGUGAGGAACGCGUAGAUCACCUACCUAUAAGACUGGGAUAACUUCGGGACACCGGAGCUAAUACCGGAUAAUCUAUUGAACCGCAUGGUGCAGUAGUGAAAGACGGUUGUGCUGUCACUGAUAGAUGGAUCCGCGCCGCCUUAGCUAGUUGUUAGGGUAACGGCGUACCAAGGCAACGGUGCGUAGCCGACCCGAGAGGGGGAUCGGCCACAGUGGCACUGGGACUGGGUCCCGACUCCGACGGGAGGCAGCAGCAGGGAAUCGUCCGCAAUGGGCGAAAGCCUGACGGAGCAACGCCGCGUGAGUGAUGAAGGUCUUCGGAUCGUAAAACUCUGUUACUAGGGAAGAACAAAUGUGUAAGUAACUAUGCACGUCUUGACGGUAGCGAAUCAGAAAGCCACGGCUAACUACGUG